AUGGCUGUGUGGUAAGAAGCUUGCUACCCAACCACAUGGUUCCAGGUUCACAGCUCUUUAAUAUCCUUCCAAAAUGCCUGGGAGACCUGCAUGGUAUGGAUGUAAGUGUCUUUAAAACAAAACUGGAUCUCUUCUUGAUACGGGUUCCAGGUGAGCCUACUUCCCAUCAGGAAACACAGAUGAGGGCAGCAGCAUCAAACUCCCUCAUUG